rnacentral:lncRNA from 1 species
CAAAAAAUUGAGGUUUUGCAACUAAAAAGCUACAUUUUUGGUGAAAUUGUUGAAAGGUUCUCACAAAUGUUCAUUAUUAAUUUGUCACGUAUUUAUUUAAAAUUAAUUGAUAAAAUCGGUAUUUAGUCGUCAAUCAAUGUUCAAAUAUUAGACAUCAUUUCCUGCUGUCCUUUGAAGCAAAAAAUGUCCUUGUAACGGAUAAGCGAUUUGUUAUAUUUGUCGAGUCAAAAGUUUUCAAAGUAUGUCGAUUCAUGUCACUUUGACGCAUUAGCCUGUUGUGGAAAAUUGGUAACUUUAAAGCUGCUAAAAGCUAGAAAAGAUCAUCGUUAACAGUCAGUUUUGACAUUAAUGUCAAAAACAUUCAUUUCGUAUGACAAAAUACUUGCGUGUCAAAAACAAUUCGUGAUUGUUAGGUCGCUACAACUGACAACAAAUGUCAGAAUAUCAGAACUUCGAAUAAUCCUGUUUUUUUGCUCAAGUCGCGCUAUCGGUUGAAAAAACACCGCAAACUUAUAGAGAAGUUCAUUUUUUCGAAAAUCCGCCACAUUCAGCAGAAACAUUGAAAAGUCGGAGAUAUUUUGGAAUUUCAAGAAUGCAAAUGGUGUUAGUUGCCUGUCAAUUCUCCAUUAGACAAUAGACUGAUCCAUCGAAGUGUCGUAAGUCGUCAAACGUCAGCGCAAAACUGUAAAAUGUCAAAUUACACCUACGUUACACAAACAUUUGAAUUUGGUUUUAUUAUCUGAUUUUCAAUCAAUAGGCGAUAAAAGAAAUAGUGUAAAAAUGUUUCGUCUUUUUUUGUUCCUAUCAAAAAUUCGAGAGCAAGAUUUUUUCAUUGGAAACCGGAAAUAAUACUGGGUGUCUCAAAUUUACCAAAAAUUCAAGGAAACGUCUUCCCUGGAACUACAGCAUGAGCCAACAUAAUUUUUUAAUUAAGAGAAGAAAUGUUUCGAAUGUCAAAAAUAGAUGAAAUCCUCAAAAAAUGGUGAAAAAGUAUAUUUUUCACGCAUGCCUUAUUUAUACUUUUUAUUCAAAUGUGUAUAAUUCUUUAUUGAACGCUCUGUAUCACCGAAAACGUGGUCAGUUCUGAAUUGAGGGACAAGGCUACAAAUCGCCCCACAAUUAACCUCAAUUAACCGACCUGCAAGAAAACUCUAUUUUGUACUAUGGUGCUAAUGGAAACCCUGAGUUAUUAAGAGGCUUCAUUGAGCACAAAUGGAAUCAAUCGCAAAUCUAUUAGAUUGGGGCGUUUGGACAAAAGUUUUGGGAAAAUGUAGCAAAUACCUUUAAGAAACAAUUGGCUUUGGUUCAAAGAACUUUUACAGUGGGCCUAAAAUCAAUAUUCUGUUUGUGCUGAUAGGAAGUAAAUAAUAUUAGUACGCACAAAAAGUGCCUUGAUACAUUGUACAUGUAAGGAAAACGUUUUGAAGUGUAAUAGGGCGAAAUUGAAUGAAAAGCUGCAAACAAAACUGGCAAUUUUAUUUGUUAUCAAAAUGAAAUUUUUGAAAUUUUCCUCAAAUAUAUUCGUUUUCAAUUGACAAUGAAACCCUACAAAGUAUAGACAAUCUCAUCAGCAAAACAUUCAGGAGGAAAUAAAAUGCAAUUGCAAAACCAGCAAUUAUUCAAUCCAGCCCUAGCAAAAAUAAAUAUAGGUUUCUCUAUAUUAUUAUUAUCGUAACAAUUAAACUAGCUUAUGUUUAGAAUUCCUCGGGCUUGAUGUGGCUGUUAAUUUGGCUUAACAUCACUGUUUAAUUAUUAUUAUUUUGGAGCAGAAUGUCCCUAAAAUCGCAAUUAAGCAAACUUUCUGGCCAUAUCACCCAGAAACUUUACGCACAAAACUUAAAUGUACUAAAUUUAUUAUUUAAGGAAUCCAAACUUGAAAGUUUGAAAUAUUUUCGGUUCUAAAAUGCAUCAAUCGUUUCAUAGGAAGUAAAAUUUUAAAAUAGAAAUGAAAAUCUGCUUAAAAACCCAACCAAAUCAAUUUGUUUGCGUUUAUUUAAUUCAAGCGCUUAAAAUUGUCGGCGUGCUUCGGUAAUUUCAAACAAAAGUGAACUAAAAAAAUAUUUUUCCAGAAAACAUACACAUGCAUUAUAUAUAAAAAUCGGCAGCUGAGGUUUUUAUAUCAAAUGUAUCACUCGUCAUCGUGCAUUUAUCACAUAACAUGAUAAUUGGGUAAAUAGGUCACGUUUGCCUUUAAUCUUCUGAAUGCUAACGAAAUAAUAAAUCCUUAUCAGCUUACAACUCACGGUUAUAAAAAUAAUCCAGGACGUGUAAAAAUAUUAAUCCCGACGCCCGAAAAAUUAAUUGUUUGGUACAAAACUUCAGUUCAAUUUCAAAUAAAUCUGUUUAAAAAAAUAUUUGUUAACUGCUGAUUGUAUGUAUAAUUUACUUCGGCGUGCCAAAAAAACUCGUGAUUACCACGUGGAAUAUACAAAAUACACCUGGUUUUUCUGUUCAUAUACACCUGGUGAUCAUGUGGUAACAGCAUUUUUUCACCGUUAUACGAAAAGUGUUCAUAAACUAUUUGGAGGAAAAGGUUUUUCCAAAACUGAUUUUCACUUGUUCCGAUUCCUUAAAUAAAAGUUUUUGAUUAGAGAUUGUUUUCAUAUGGUGUAAGUAAGGUAAAAACGGAGCAUUCUAUCGGAGUCGACAGUUAUUUGAGCUCAUAGUGAAGUGUAAAUAUAUAUUUAUUUUUGUACAUUGAUCAAGCUACAACUCGUUCAAUCCUUUCAUAUAUGUCUAUCGACAGCACUUUAAGAAAUAACCGACAGGGUAUUACUAACUUGGACGCUUUAGAAUAAAUAUUCCUCUCAUCCAGUUCGUUAUUUGGCGAAUUUUUCCAAAUGUUUAUUAUUAUUUUAUAAUUUUUUAACUCCCCAGGUUAACAAUUUUAUACUCUAUGUUUGCGGGUAACAAGAUACACCAGCCCAAUUUGGAAAAUAUUUAAUAAAAUAUAUUUAGAGAGUCAGCUAUAAAUUCCAUUCAAACCAUUUCGAAGUUUUGGAGCGUAUUUUCCAAAUGAAAUCGAUAAUCGGUCAUAUUAUCGGUAUUAUUUAUAACAAUAGCUCUUGUUAUGAGAGUUUAGCGGACAUUUAUAUUACCACAUGUAAAUUUUUGCAAAGAAAUAAAUUGUUUUCAAAUUGCCUUAAUAGAAAGUUCCAGUAGGCUUUAUUUUUCCGAUAUUUUGAAAUAUUCAAAUUCCCCCAUCAGAAGCGCUCUAUAAAUCGCUUUGAGAUUAAUGAUCGGCCUGAUUUCCCAGCUCCAAAAAUUUGCCCUUAAAUAAAAUCUCAAUAAUACAUACUAAUUUCCACGUCAAGUUCUGAAAUGAGGCCAAUCGUUAUAUUUCCAUUUAUCUACUUCAUGCUCUGAAAAUGUGCCAAGAACUCCUGGACAUGACUUUAAUAUAAUAAAUUGUAGAAUUAAGUUCUUAAAAAAAUUUUUGCUAUUUCUACUCGAUUAGCCAUUACAUUUGUUGGUUUCAAACCUUCUAUUUGGAAAAAUCAGCAAUAAUGUAUCUUUCAUUCAGCAAUUCCACUUUUGUUGCAUUUAUUGUAUGCUGAGGUAUUGGCAUAUUUUCUAAAACACAAUGUAUGUGAAUUAUUGUGCAAAAAGUGUGUUCUUUGUAGCAUAUUAUGUAACUAAUCUACUGUAGCAAACGGAUAUUUACAUCUGUCCUAGAGUAGACUUAAAAUUCCUGUUUCAACGGGUUGGGAUAACUUGCUUUCCUCUAUGUCUUAUUAUUAGACAAUUUAUUUGUCUAGUUUGAAUCCCUAAGUUUCAAUCGAACGGAUAUUCAGAUUUAUUUAUAAUGGGACGAAUAAUUUAUUAAAGCUUCAAGUUGAAACCCAUUUAAAUCAAUAUGUUGAUAACUGAAGCCAACAUCAUGAUACAACAAAUUUAAAACACAAAAAAUUCAAAUUUAACAGGCUUAAAAUCCGGGCACUUUGCAAGCAUGUUCUGUGUUAAAACAUUCAAAUAAUAAGGAAGAGUACGAUUAAAGCUAGAAGAUUUUUUUUUAUAGAUUAAACGUAUUCGAUUAGAAAUUUCCAUUCUUCCUUGAAGAAUUUAUCUGACUUUUCGAUAGGCUCACAAAAAAAGGAAACCGCAUAAAUGCAGCAAAACUCAGAACGUUGAAAAAUGUUACUUUGAUCAAUCAGGAACAAAUUUAAUGGAGUGAAAUAUGAUCUUGAAUCGGACGGCAAAUUUUACUAUAAUAGUUGAACGAAGGCUCUGGAAUUGAUACAAUAAUAAACGAAACACGUCAAAAUAAAAACUACAUUAAAAAAAGCAUCUAUGAAGUGAAAUUACACUUGGCUCUAAAGUUUCUGACUAAAAAAAAUUCUUGUGUACUUCUAGCCAUAGCUUGUAUAUCGGGAGCAUAACAAGUUUAGAUUUACUUAUAAUAAAUAUCCUACAGAAUCACAGAGCAAAUGAGAGAGCUGACUUUUUUACUAUUCACCAACAGACUCAAACUUUUCAGAUUUAUUCCAUACAUUUUUAAAUCCCGCUGUGAUCCCAACCCAUAUUAAUAAAUCUAUGUAUUUUAAAGUAAAUUAACAAAAAAUAUUCCAUAUAAAUUUGAAGACUAAAACCAUAUUCACGAUAUUCGAUCGCUUACAAAUUAGAUUUUGGCAAAUGAGUAUCUUGAUGUUAGAAAUAGUCCCCCCACGUAUUUACUGUCUCGAAAGGUAUUGUAAUUUUAUUCGAAUACACGAGUCUCAUAUUAUAUAGCCAAUAACAUGGACCUAAUAAUUUGUAUAUAAAGUGACUGCGCUUUCCACAUACUAAGCCUAACAUAGAUGCAAAAUUUGUAACUGUAUAGUACCUAAAUAGGAUUAAGUUUCAGUACAUAAAAAAAGAAAAUUACAAAAUUGUAUUGACAAAUUCAAAUAAAAUUAUUAAUACUA